rnacentral:rRNA from 1 species
UACGUAGGGGGCAAGCGUUGUCCGGAUUUAUUGGGCGUAAAGAGCGUGUAGGCGGCUAUACAGGUCCGCUGUGAAAACUCGAGGCUCAACCUCGAGACGUCGGUGGAAACCGUAUGGCUAGAGUCCGGAAGAGGAGAAUGGAAUUCCUGGUGUAGCGGUGAAAUGCGCAGAUAUCAGGAAGAGCACCCGUGGCGAAGGCGGUUCUCUGGGACGGUACUGACGCUGAGACGCGAAAGCGUGGGGAGCGAACAGG